CAACUGAAUAUCGUCAGGCUUAAUAUGGCGGAAGCUCACAAAUCGAGAAAUGGUCCAAAUUUUUUUGGCCUCGCCGGCUGCGAUUCUCCGGCUCAAAUUUUUUCCUCAGUUAUUUUUGCCGGUCGUCUCCGGCGGUGAUGCGCUCUUACGAGGUUUCUUAAGGUUGUCCAUAUGCUCAGGUGCCUCUGGAAGCGUGACUACUGAGGAUGUUGCUUCAAUGCUUAUUGGACUAGGAGUGAAGAAAAAUGUUGAUCUCAGAAAGCUUGCAUUGGCUGGAGACUUUUUACUUUAUUUGCAAACCUUUUUCGGUCAGCCUUCUGGUUCUGUGGUUUCCCUUGAGCUGUGAGCAACUGGUACUGCCUGAAUCUUAAGAGAAGGAGCUUUACGGCACAAUAAAAACCCUAGCUCAACAUGGGAGUUCGUUCCUUCGGGGACAUCCUAUAAAAUUGGAACGAUACAGAGAAGAUUAGCAUGCCCUGUGCAAGGAUGGCACGCACAAAUCGAGAAAUGGUCCGAAUUGUUUUUACCAUCUCGCCAGCGGUGAUAUCGGCUAUACUCCGAUGCCAAAGAAGUUUUUCCGGUCGGCCGCGGCGAUGCUCUCUCCCGAGAUUUCUUGAGUUAUUCGAAGUCGAGCGUGUUGGGGAGUAUAUGUUGUGAGCUGCUGCGCAAGGUGUUCAGUUAGCUUUUUCUCAAGUUUCUUUCUCUUCCGGGAGAGCAUUCCUAUGGCAAAGAUUAAAAAGGAGGGUCUUUAAUCAAGCUCCUAGGGUGGUUCGAACAAGAAGUGUUCUUUUGUAUUCUUAAUUGUUAUUAUAGCACCUACGGCAUGUAGAGGAUGUUAAAACAAGAGUCACAGUGGGUACCUUUGUAUCAGGUAUUGGAGGUUGUCCAUAUGCUCGGGUAAACCUGGAUAUGUGAGUACUGAGAGGAUGUUGCUUCCAUGCUCAAUGGACUACAAGUGAAGUCAAAUGUGGGUCUCAGAGAGCCUACAUUGGCUGCAGGAGACUUUAACUGCAACCGAUCUGGGGGGCUUCUGGUUCUUUGGUUGCCAUUUUCUUGAGCUCUGAGCAACCGGUACUGCCUAAAGCUUCUUGUAUCUCUGAUGCUUUUGACAUGUCUAUAUUGCAUCUUUGACAUGAAAGUCACUUUGGACCAACCCCGCUGUACCAUCAAGUCUUGUGCUGUAAAACAUACUGACUCUGGCAUGCAUGUCCAGGUGAGGACUGCACAAACCCUCCGCGCCGCAUGCAAAGUAGGGGCAGGACUUAGAAGAACGAGUAUACGUAUGGAUUGCUUUGUGGAAGAUAGAAUUAUAAUCGUGCAUGGGUUGGUAAUUUGUAAGAUGAUAACAGUAUGAAAAGGUGAAGGAACUACUAUAUCUUUAUGGAGCAAACUCAUUUUAAUGUUACUGUCUUAGAUUAUUUUUUUGAAAUAAACUUCUUAUAUGAACUUCUAUUGAGUCAAUGAACUUGUAGGGGAUAUUCGAAUUUGUGGUAAUUAGGUAGAAUGAUACUUAAUAGUCU